GCCUUCGUGGUGUAGUAGUCAGCACGCUCGACACGUAACCAAGGGGUCCACGGUUCGAGUCCCGGCGAAGGCG
rnacentral:tRNA from 1 species